GGGGAGAAUGGUGGAUGAUUGGAGAAUAAUCUGGGAGUUGAUUUUGAAAUUUUUCUUAUUCUUUUUCUUUGGAUAUUCUAUUUACUCAUUUUCUUUUUGUCUCACUGGAUAGGUUUUUCACUUCAUCAUUGUUAGCAUUGUGUCAAAAAGCUUAGAUCUGACACACACCUGACAGAGGCAUCUCCAUGUUGACUUUCUUAUAUAGCCUUGCUUCUCCAGGUAAUUGGAUAGAAGACUUGUAAGUGGACUUGUGGUCUAAGUGUUCUUAAAAAACCAUUAGAGAGAAAAACCUUGGCAACUUUGCCACUGUAGCUCCUUUAAGACUGAAGAGCAUUAGGAAAGGUCACAUUCUGUGACCUGGAAGACAGAAUGGUGGAAUUCACUGAUGCGGAACAGAAUAAAGAAGAAAGAAUGAAAAGAAAUGAAGACAGCCUAAGAGACCUCUGGGACAAAAUUAAACGCAACAACAUUCUCAUUAGAGGGGUCCCAGAAGGAGAAGAGAGAGAGAAAUGACCCAAGAAAAUAUUUGAAGAGAUAUAGUUGAAAACUUCCCUAACAUGGGAAAGGAAAUAGCCACCCAAGUCCAAGAAGCACAGGGAGUCCCAUAGAGGAUAAACCCAAGGAGAAAUAUGCGGAGACACAUGGUAAUCAAAUUGGCAAAAAUUAAAGACAAAGAAAAAUUAUUGAAAGCAGCAAGGGAAAAACGACAAAUAACAUACAAGGGAACUCCCAUAAGGUUAACAGCUGAUUUCUCAGCAGAAACUCUACAAGUCAGAAGGGAGUGACAUGACAUAUUUAAAGUGAUGAAAGGGAACAGCCUAUAACCAAGAUUACUCUACCCGGCAAGGAUCUCAUUCAGAUUUGACAAAGAAAUCAAAAGCUUUACAGACAAGCAAAAGCUAAAAGAAUUCAGCACCACCACACCAGCUCUACAACAAAUGCUAAAGGAACUUCUCUAAGUUCCUUUAAGUUCCUUCUCUUGUGUUUCUAAGGGAAACACAAGAGAAGAAAAGGACCUACAAAAACAAACCCAAAACAAUUAAGAAAAUGGUAAUAGGAACAUACAUAUCAAUAAUUACCUUAAACGUGAAUGGAUUAAAUGCUCCAACCCAAAGACACAGGCUCGCUGAAUGGGUAAAAAAAUAAGACCAAUAUAUAUGCUGUCUACAAGAGACCCACUUCAGACCUAGGUAUACAUACAGACUGAAAGUGAGGGGAUGGAAAAAGAUAUUCCUUGCAAAUGGAAAUCAAAAGAAAGCUGGAGGAGCAAUACUUAUAUCAGAUAAAAUAGACUUUAAAAUAAAGAAUGUUACAAGAGACAAGGAAGGACACUACAUAAUUAUCAAGGGAUCAAUCCAAGAAGAAGAUAUAACAAUUAUAAAUAUAUAUGCACCAAACUUAGGAGCACCUCAAUACAUAAGGCAACUGCUAACAGGUCUAAAAGAGGAAAUCGGCAGUAACACAAUAAUAGUGGGGGACUUUAACACCUCCCUUACACCAAUGGACAGAUCAUCCAAACAGAAAAUUAAUAAGGAAACACAAGUUUUAAAUGAUACAAUAGACUAGACAGAUUUAAUUGAUAUUUAUAGGACAUUCCAUGCAAAAACAGCAGAUUACACUUUCUUCUCAAGUGUGCACAGAACAUUCUCCAGGAUAGAUCACAUCUUGGUCCACAAAUCAAGCCUCAGUAGAUUUAAGAAAAUUGAAAUCAUAUCAAGCAUAUUUCCUGACAACAACACUAUGAGGUUAGAAAUGAAUUAUAGGGGAAAAAACGUAAAAAACACAAACACAUGGAGGCUAAACAAUACGUUACUAAAUAACCAAGAGAUCACUGAAGAAAUCAAAGAGGAAAUAAAAAUAUACCUAAAGACAAAUGACAAUGAAAACACGACUAUCCAAAACCUAUGGGAUGCAGCAAAAGCAGUUCUAAGAGGGAAGUUUAUAGCAAUACAAUCCUACCUCAAGAAACAACAAACAUCUCACAUAAACAAUAUAACCUUACACCUAACGGAACUAGAGGAAGAAGAACAAACAAAACCCAAAGUUAGCAGAAGGAAAGAAAUCAUAAAAAUCAGAGCAGAAAUAAAUAGAAACAAAGAAGACAAUGGCAAAGAUCAAUAAAACUAAAAGCUGGUUCUUUGAGAAGAUAAACAAAAUUGAUAAACCAUUAGCCAGACUCCUCCAGAAAAAGAGGGAGAGGAUUCAAAUCAAUAAAAUUAGAAAUGAAAAAGAAGUUACAACAGACACCACAGAAAUACAAAGCAUCCUAAGAGACUACUACAAGCAACUCUAAGCCAAUAAAAUGGACAACCUGGAAGAAAGGACAAAUUCUUAGAAAGGUAUAACCUUCCAAGACUGAACCAGGAAGAAAUAGAAAAUAUAAACAGACAAAUCACAAGUAAUGAAAUUGAAACUGUGAUUUAAAAACUUCCAACAAACAAAAG